rnacentral:lncRNA from 10 species
UCCCCUGCACUCCCCCUGGAUGGGGCUUAUAGAUGCCUGCUUUAACUCAGGGCCUUCAGCUCCUCUGUUUGCACUCUAAGGAGGCCCAAAGGAAUAGCUUUAGAACCCUCUUCAGAAAGUGUCCUGAAAACUAUGAACGGACCUUAAGGAUCUAGCGGCAAGACUAUAAAAUGAAAGGCCUGCACGCUAACUGUGACCCUGUCAGUGACUCCCUUGUCCUUGUUCUCUUACUGGUUUCCCAGUCUAUGCAGUGGGAAUCCUUUUGCCUAACCCUCAUCACUCCAGCAGUAGAAUAAUUUUUUAUGCUGUUUCCAGAUGUGAUCUGGAAAACUCAACCUUGGUACUAAAAUACUAGUAUCUGGGGGCUGCUGCCCUACAAAGGGAGCUCCCCCAGGAUAUCUGUGUUGCACAGCUGGCUCCAGAAGUCUGGCACAGGUGGGCUGAUUGGCAGAGCCUCAGCAGCAAUGCCCCUGUGAGGGAGGCUGGCCUUUGCUUCCAGUUAGAACUCAGAAAGUGUAGGACCACACAAACCCAGAAAGAGGUUCAAAUGCUAUGGGAACCAAUCAAAUGACAACGUCACUCAAAGGGUCUGAAAAAUAGAACCAUGGGGGUGAGCCCACUGAAGUCACUGUAUGGGUGAACCAAGGCCCUGGACUGGAAACUGCUGGGAGCCUGUGAAUUAGGUGGCCUCGGAGACCUUGCAAGCACUACUUCAGUGUGAGGUUGCAGUGUAAGUCUGCCUGCAGUUCUGUGCUACCUGCAGCACUGAGUGGCCACAGCCCAGCCACUCUUUUGUAUUUUCUGAGGAAGGUGUGGAGAGAACACAGCCCUCCACCGUCUUCCUCUGCACUUCCACCCCCAAGCCAGAAUCCUGUUGUCCUGUGGCUCACACAAUAUAAAAAACACACACCUAGAAGGUGUCUGCAGGCUGAGACAGGCCGAUGUUGCCAGCACAGCAGGAGAAUUGAGAGGUGGUAGCUUCCUAUUUUCACUUCAUCAAUAAGCAGCAGCUGGAAUGGAAGCCAGACCAAAGGCUGUCAUCUCCUAUAGUCUCUCCAGAAAUGGAAAAAGCUAGUACUUUCUCACCAUGGGUAGAAUGACUUGAAAAUGCCAAAUUAACCCUUCAAACAUGCACUUGUGCCCAGCCUGACUGAAGGAGAGGCUCUCUGGAGAGGGCAGCCUAGCCUGGCACUUGACAAGUGCUUUCUGUUGUGGAUGGCUCACUACAUAUUAGACCCUGGCCAGACAUGAAGUCUCUCAUUUCAUCCUCAAAACCACACUCAGCAGUCAGUAUUAUUAUGCCUGUUUACAGAUGAAGAAACUGAGGCUGAGACAAUACAGCAGGGUCAGAGAGCUGAGGAAGCAUGGAGUCAGAAUUCUAGAGACCAAAUCUUAGGCAACUCACCAGCCUCCCUCCCUUGGCUUGAAUGAAGCGGGAGGACUGGAUUCCAGGAUAUUUCAUUCACAUGGCUAUCAGCAGGAAGCCUCAGUUCCUCAGCAAGGAGAUCUCUCCAGGAGCUUGCCUGUGUGUUCUUGUGAUAUGGCGGCUGAAUGAUUCCAGGGGUGCGGGCGGGGUGCAAAAGCCUAGCCUUGAAAUGUCUUUUAUAAAUAAGCCUUGAAAGUGGCACAUCAUCACUUCUACUGUGUUUUAUUGGUCAUGCCAAUCAACCAUGAUACGAUGUGGGAGGGCAUGAAUAUAGAAGGUAGGGUCACUGUAGGCCAUCUUAGAGGCUGACUACCACAAUCUGUCACUCUAAGAACAAAUUAAACCAUGACAAUGCUUAUUGCUUGGAAUCAUUUUUAUAUUAUAUUAACCAUGCCUUUUGUUUUCUGAUGACUUGACAUCUUGGGGCUGUACUGACCCUGGACUGCCCCUCCCAGAGUUUGCUAAUUCCUGGAGAUAGCAAACAACUUGCCUGAGAACACGUCUUUCAUAUGCAAACCAACCAAUCCAGAGCCCACACCUCAAGCACCUUUUUAUAGGGCUCUCACACUCAGCCCUAAUCACCCCAGGGCCAGGUACCAGACAACCAGGGAUAGCACCUAGACCCCAGGGCCCAUCAAAAUUCAAAUUAGUCAAUCCCAAACCUGCUUACCUGCUGUCUGGCACAUUAAUUUCUGCAGAAACCACAACACAGGCUCUUAUCCAUGUUUUCGCCUGUUCCCUCUGCCUCCUGACCAAUCCAGGUGCUUACCCAUGGCCCUGCAUGCAUACCACGCCUUCAAUUUCUAGGGACCUAUGCGUAUAACAAAUUUCUUUCUUCAUGACAGUCAUUUCGCGUGUGCCUUCCCAUAGUUGAUUAAGACAAAUGCCAGUACCUUUAAGAUAUACGUAUUCAAAAAGCGCUUUUGGCCUUUUUCAGAUUUUGUUUCUUAUUCGACUUAACCUCUAGUUUCACUUCUUUCUAUAUUGAAUCACAUGUCCCUGGAAAUUAAUCAGCUCCUGUUCAAAGUCAGCAGGAAGCAUCUAACAAAUCGAUUCACAUCUCAAUGAUUAGUCCUGUGCUCUGCAUGAAUUGGUGUCUCUCACUACAUUAAAACUUCUUCCAUUUAUUCCAAAGGAUGGGUCAACUUCUCCUUUAGUUGCGCCUUGUUUGCUGUUUGAUAGGCAAUCCUUUCGCAUGAAUCUCAGCAUGUCAGUAAAACUUCAUUUACUAGUGGGUAUCUUUCUUUCUUAGUUCCAAAAAAACACCUCCUGCUUUGUAAAAAAUCAUGUUCAUUCCUCCAAUGGCAAAUCUGUGCUUUACUAAUAUCAAAUUAACCCCACUGCUCUGCCUUUCUGAGUAUAAAACCACCUUUUAUUAUAAUACCAAAUCACAGUAUAAUGUUUUUGAAGGCAUCUUAAAAAGCGCUUACACUGAACACAUGUGGUUAUCAACAAUGCACAUUACUCAACAAAAAUGAUGACAAUGGGAAGAGCACACCCAGUUUGCACAUCCACAGGCGACGAGAACAGCAAUGUUGCAACUGCUGCCUUGCUGACACUGAGAAGACACCAACUUUAAGAUACACUCCAGUUUCAAAAACUGCAUCUCAAAAUUCAUGAAAUGCAAAUACUUUCCUAUAUAAGGUGCUUGGCAUAGCAUCUGGCCCAUAGUAAGUAAGCUUUUAAUAAAUGUUAGCCAUCAACAACACACCAAUAACAAACCUUCAGCAAACAAAGCUCCCUUUAACCAAUGUGUUUGGUGGCAAAGCAGGUUAGAGGUGUUCUGGUCUCCUCAGCCUUAGGUAUGCAUAGGUGAUGCAUGGCAAAAGAAUGGCACCACCUCAACUGACAUGGGUGGGCAGGGGUUGGGCCUAGAGAAGCGGCAAGCUUAUGUCAGGUGGUCACUAGGAAAUGAAGAGGUACAACCUGGGCUGGGAGCAGACUGUGACACUAAAGAGGCGGGAGACCCUCCCACACAGGCCAAGAGAUUUACAGAGAGGGGAGAAGGCAGGGUGCAUUUACUGGGCACUUAUUGUAUCAAGAGCUUUAAUUAGUACUCACUUAGUGCUCACAUCGACCCUGAAAAGUAGAAAUUACCCCCGUUUUACAGAGGAGAAACAGACGUGCUAAAAUUCUUAUCAUCAUGCCCAGGGGUACAUCAUAGGUGACACAGCCAGGGUUUGCACCAGGCUUCACAUGAAACUUAUUCCCAUAAUUCUAUCAGGCACCAUGGAUAAAGAAUCCAAGUCCUACUAAGUAUCUCCCUGCCUCCUACACUAGUAAUCAAACAUUGCCUGAUAGGCAAAGACUUCAGAAUUUUUUUUUUUUCAAGCAGAGGGUUAUAGCUAUAAAGGGUAUAUACUGAGCAGAUAAAUGCUGUAAACAAAAUUGCCCUGUGGAACAUCAAAAUCA